GAACAACGAAGACAAGGCCCUGUUAAACCUCCUGGGGUCCAGUAUAUGGGAGGACUCUCCAUGUCAGAGCUGCAAAUAGACUAUACAGUAAUGCCUAAAUCUGGAGGAUAUCGUUACCUGUUGGUAGCUGUGUGUACCUAUUCAGGUUGGGAAGACGCUUGUCCAACCCGUACGGAAAAAGCAGGAGAAGUUGUACGAUUCCUGUUGCGAGAAGUCAUACCCAGAUAUGGACUCCCG